UCUUCAGUUGGAAGACGUCUACCGAGCAAUAUCACCAGCUCGGUGGAAGAUCUUCCCUUUGUCGU
rnacentral:pre_miRNA from 1 species